CUGGCCCCACCUCCCCGUAACCGGCUCCCCUCACUGGCUCUUGGCUCUCCAGUGACCUGCCCCCCCAGGCCCGUCUCAGGCUCUCCUGCCCUUGUCCCCAGCGGCACCCCUCUGCCUCGCCGCUCGCAGGGGCGGGAGUGGGCGGGGCCGCCCAGCUCUCUCUCCCCGAGCUGCCGGAGAGAGGCCGGGCCAUGGCGACAGCGGCCGUGUGUCCUGUGGGCGGCGGGAGCCUGCAGCGUCCCCGCCUCCUGUCCCGGGCUGUGCCUGCCCCCGACUUUUCUCCGUGCUCCGGUGGUGAAGUGUGUCUAGCUAUGGUGAAGCUUGGAUCUGCGUCAUGGCCCAUGAUAUUUCUGUCUGCAAGAACCUGGUUCCAGUUUCUGUGAAUCCAGACCCUGAGGAGCAGGGAAGUACGGACCUUGUGGAAGGGCUUUGAGCUCUCCAGCGCAGGGAAUGGCUUCCUCUGACUUGGGGAAUCACCCAGCGCACUGUGGACACUGCCACAAUCUACAUUCAGAUUGAAAAUCUUGGGGCAGCAGUAAAGCUGAGGUUGAUAUAGGGUAUGUCUACACUCAACAACAACAAAAAAGCUGCAUUCUUAACUUGGCUUAGCUAACCUUGGUUAAAAUAGCCAUGAAGACACAGCAGCACAGCUUCCAGCCUGCUAGCUAACCUUUUUUUACAUUUUUGGUAUAGACAUACCUGUAUUUGCAGCUGCUCCCCCUGUUCACAUCUCUAGAUAACAGGCCUCAUUCUCAUCUCAGAGCGGUCUGAAUGUGGUGUAACUCCAUUCCUUUCGGUGGGCUGGUUCCUGAUUCACUCUGCUGUGAGCGAACUCCGACUGAGGCCAAAAGAGGGAGAGAAGACGUGAGCUGACAGCUUGCCUGUGCAUUUAAUAUGAGAGAGAAGCUAAGAACUGGCGAUGUGGAUAGCAGAUCACUGGAUAGAAAACUGCAGAGGCCUCUCCUGGGAAAGUCAAGGACCCUUCCCAGCAUUCCUCAGUCCCCUGUCCUCAGCAGGGUUCCUCUUUUGGAUUCAAAAUUGUAUAGGGAGGAGAUGCCAGAGCAGAAGCAGUACAAGAACCACUCUGCCUCAGACUGUCAGAAAGGGUGCACAGUGCCCUCUGCUGGGGAGGCCUGGCAGCUGGAAGACGAUUGUGUGGAGCCUCCCGGGGAUACCGCUCCCCAGACCCAGCUCUGCACUGCCAUGGACGAGGCCCCAUUCAGGCACUUCCAGACGCACUCCUUCUACAUGAGGAAAAGCCUGUCUAUGGACAACCACCUGAGCUCCCUCAGUUACUCUCUCCACCCGUCAGAGACGAAGGCUGAUCGCGUCAAAACCAAGCUCAGGAGGCAGUUUGUGAGUACUUGAUGGGAGGGGUUGCUCUCCCCCCCCCCCCAAUUCCCAUAGUCUAUAUUGAAGGUUACCUGCAUAUGUGCACACAUUCUCAAAAACAGUGACAUGCUGGAUGGUUAUUUUUAUUCAAAACAUGUUAAAAAAUAGUUUGGCUCCCCAGCUUGGUCAAACAGAUGGCAGUAGCAUCGUCUGGAGUUUGGCAAAAUCACACCACAAAACCGAUUUGUCUCGUUUGUCAGGUUUUUAAAUCGCUAAUGUUAAAAGAAAAGCUGUCAUCAGAGACCGCACCUGCUUAGGCUGGGUAAUGCAGUGUGGUAACAUGCUAUCUCUUCAGCUCUGGAAGCUUCCAUUCAAAUCUUGUUUUUAUUUUUUAGGCCUCAAAUAAAAAUGGGUUUGUGGUCUUAUACCA
ensembl:lncRNA